rnacentral:rRNA from 1 species
UAGUCCACGCCGUAAACGAUGGUUACUAGCUGUUUGGACUAAUUGAGGUCUAAGUGGCCAAGCGAAAGUGAUAAGUAACCCACCUGGGGAGUACGUUCGCAAGAAUGAAACUCAAAGGAAUUGACGGGGGCCCGCACAAGCGGUGGAGCAUGUGGUUUAAUUCGAUGAUACGCGAGGAACCUUACCAGGGCUUAAAUGCAGUAUGACAGAUUUGGAAACAGAUUUUUCUUCGGACAUAUUGCAAGGUGCUGCAUGGUUGUCGUCAGCUCGUGCCGUGAGGUGUCAGGUUAAGUCCUAUAACGAGCGCAACCCCUAUUGCUAGUUGCCAGCGGAUAAUGCCGGGGACUCUAGUGAGACUGCCGGUGCAAACCGUGAGGAAGUGGGGAUGACGUCAAAUCAUCACGGCCCUUACGUCCUGGGCCACACACGUGCUACAAUGGACGUACAAAGGGCAGCUACCUGGCGACAGGAUGCUAAUCUCUAAAACCGNUCGUAGUCCGGAUUGGAGU